rnacentral:lncRNA from 1 species
AAUUAUGAAAAACAAUAUUGUCAUUGCAAAUAUAAACUCAAAGUUAUUACAGAUUCAAAUCAGGGACACCACCUAGCAGUGGGGGGUUUAGCUACUCAUAAUAUUCAAGCAAAUCAAAAUAUUUGCAAAGAAGAGAUGCACAAAAGUCCAUCACAUCCGCCUCCCAAUUGACCAAAAUGCCCAUCACUUAAGAAUAACAAAAGAAGAGACAAAAUUCAAAUUUUUUCACGCAUGUCUGCUACGGCCCGUAGCCGGUGC